rnacentral:rRNA from 1 species
UACGAAGGGGGCUAGCGUUGUUCGGAAUUACUGGGCGUAAAGCGCGCGCAGGCGGUCCUUCAAGUCAGAGGUGAAAGCCCAGAGCUCAACUCUGGAACGGCCUUUGAAACUAGAGGACUAGGGUACGGGAGAGGUGAGUGGAAUUCCGAGUGUAGAGGUGAAAUUCGUAGAUAUUCGGAAGAACACCAGUGGCGAAGGCGGCUCACUGGCCCGUUACCGACGCUCAGGCGCGACAGCGUGGGAGCAAACAGG